UGGACCCCAGGUGAGGCCCCGGGCGUGGCCCAGGUGUGUCCAGGUGUGCCCAGGUGUGCUCAGGUGUUCCCCAGGUGUGCCCAGGUGUGUCCCCAGGUGUGUCCAGGUGUGCUCAGGUGUGUCCAGGUGUGCCCAGGUGUCCCCAGGUGUCCCCAGGUGUCCCCAGGUGUAUCCCAGGUGUGUCCAGGUGUGCCCAGGUGUGCCCAGGUGUGUCCAGGUGUGCCCAGAUGUGUCCCCAGGUGUGUCCAGGUGUGUCCAGGUGUCCCCAGGUGUGUCCAGGUGUAUCUCAGGUG
rnacentral:lncRNA from 1 species